AGCGCAGGCGGUUUCUUAAGUCUGAUGUGAAAGCCCCCGGCUCAACCGGGGAGGGUCAUUGGAAACUGGGGAACUUGAGUGCAGAAGAGGAGAGUGGAAUUCCAUGUGUAGCGGUGAAAUGCGUAGAUAUAUGGAGGAACACCAGUGGCGAAGGCGGCUCUCUGGUCUGUAACUGACGCUGAGGCUCGAAAGCGUGGGAGCAAACA
rnacentral:rRNA from 1 species